AUUGAACGCUGGCGGCAGGCCUAACACAUGCAAGUCGAGCGGAUGAAGGGAGCUUGCUCCUGGAUUCAGCGGCGGACGGGUGAGUAAUGCCUAGGAAUCUGCCUGGUAGUGGGGGAUAACGUCCGGAAACGGGCGCUAAUACCGCAUACGUCCUGAGGGAGAAAGUGGGGGAUCUUCGGACCUCACGCUAUCAGAUGAGCCUAGGUCGGAUUAGCUAGUUGGUGGGGUAAAGGCCUACCAAGGCGACGAUCCGUAACUGGUCUGAGAGGAUGAUCAGUCACACUGGAACUGAGACACGGUCCAGACUCCUACGGGAGGCAGCAGUGGGGAAUAUUGGACAAUGGGCGAAAGCCUGAUCCAGCCAUGCCGCGUGUGUGAAGAAGGUCUUCGGAUUGUAAAGCACUUUAAGUUGGGAGAAAGGGCAGUAAGUUAAUACCUUGCUGCUUUGACGUUACCAACAGAAUAAGCACCGGCUAACUUCGUG
rnacentral:rRNA from 1 species